UUUCGCAAUGCCCGAAAGGGUGACGAAGCGACGCCGCGUGCGGGAAGAAGGCCUUCGGGUUGUAAACCGCUGUCGGGAGUUAAGAAAUGUAAGGAUGUUAAUAGCAUCUUUGCUUGACUAAGGCUCCGGAGGAAGCCACGGCUAACUCUGUGCCAGCAGCCGCGGUAAUACAGAGGCGGCAAGCGUUGUUCGGAAUUAUUGGGCGUAAAGAGCACGUAGGCGGCUAUGUAAGUCGGUUGUGAAAGCCUUCCGCUCAACGGGAGAACAGCAUCCGAUACAGCAUGGCUUGAGUGCGGGAGGGGAGAGUGGAACUUCUGGUGGAGCGGUGAAAUGCGUAGAUAUCAGAAGGAACGCCGGCGGCGAAAGCGGCUCUCUGGCCCAUAACUGACGCUGAGUGUGCGAAAGCUAGGGGAGCAAACGGGAUUAGAUACCCCGGUAGUCCUAGCCGUAAACGAUGGGCACUAAGUAGAGGGGUUUUA
rnacentral:rRNA from 1 species